UUCCACUUCUUGAAGUGAGUACCGUUGAACCGGAAUGACUUGUUGAGAUCUCCCAUCUUGACAUCCGCAGAAUUUUCAGUUGUUGCCAUCUCUGAAUCUCCUUAAAAUUAUUGAGAUAACAUUUUUAAUUAAUAUUAUUAUUUUAUCCUAUCCCUAACCUCAUUAUUGCACUUUACUUUAAUAAUUUUUGCUUUAACGUUUAAAAAGACACUUUUUCAGAAAGUAUCCUAUUAUGUAUUAUUAUGUUUUGCAUUAUUGAUUAUAAUAAUGCAUAAAGGAAUAACUUUCCAUCUUUGUAUGUUUCAAAUCCUUCUAUUUAAGUGGAUAUCUUAUACAUAAUCAUAAAAAGGUGAAGAGAAAGAAGAAAAACAAAAAUGCAAGAAAGAAAAAUUAAAAUUUUAUAUAAAAGAGAGUUUAAUAGUUGAAGGGAGGUGUUUAAUUGUGUAAAGCUUUGAACUCAAUUCGAGUCCAGAGUAUUGAGUUAUAUUGUGUAGGUUGUUGUAUCUUGGAGGGGACAAGUCAAUGAGUGUUACUGAUGGACCGGAGAAACAAUUACCGCAGUGGGCUUGAAUCUCCUUAAAAUUCUUUCUUCUUCAAC
rnacentral:lncRNA from 1 species